rnacentral:rRNA from 1 species
UACAGAGGUCUCAAGCGUUGUUCGGAUUCAUUGGGCGUAAAGGGUGCGUAGGUGGCGUCGUAAGUCGGGUGUGAAAUUUCGGAGCUUAACUCCGAAACUGCAUUCGAUACUGCGGUGCUUGAGGACUGGAGAGGAGACUGGAAUUUACGGUGUAGCAGUGAAAUGCGUAGAGAGUCGUAAGGAAGACCAGUGGCGAAGGCGGGUCUCUGGACAGUUCCUGACACUGAGGCACGAAGGCCAGGGGAGCAAACGGG